GGUCGAAAGGGGAAAUUCAUUCGCGUUUCGACUGUUAGCGAUGAACGAACGAGUGACGGAUGGCGUUCGCGCGUCGUCUGCGCCGUUUGUUUUUCGAACUGGCGUCGAACGCGUGCACUUUUCCCCUAGUAGGACGUUGCGAUCCGUUGGGUGUCGGUCUAAGGCUCUCGAGGUGGAGCCCACGUGUGGACGUUUCGCGACGUUUUGCACGCGUGGACCCUCGGUGUCCCGGCCGACUGGCUCGACGGUAUAAUUAUGGCGCGAGGCCGCUACAUAUUAAUUAGCGUUCGGCUCGUGGCAAGCGCGUUCGGUGUUUAACGGCGAUCGGACCUAGCGCCGAUCCUGUUCCCGUACGACUGUUGGCUACGAUGUUCUCGAACAGACCUCG
rnacentral:rRNA from 1 species